rnacentral:lncRNA from 1 species
UCUUGUAUAUGUACUGGUUGUUGAGUUUGUCAAAAAAUCAUGAAAAUAAAAUCUCUUAUUUUGUAAAUUUUUUUCCUUGAUAUUUUAACUAUUCGGCCUUCACCGCCUACUAUCCACUGCUGCCCGCCAUUGACCGUCGCUGUUGGACCACCGAUCGUGCCACUGCACCCCACCGAAGCAUGAGCCACCAGUGCCUAAGGUUCUCCCCUAUUCGGCCA